AGACUGAAGGAAAGCAGUUCUGACAGAGAAAAAGAUAAGCUGGAUUUCUAGAGGAUAGUUGUUUAUCCAGUGUUUGAGACGGGAAAAUCUAAGAAGAGACAGAGACUGGGCCUUCUUGGAAAGCUGCACGUAAAGUGCUUGAAAGAACAGAAGAGCUGAAUCAAGUCUGCAGAUUCAAAAGGCAUGAGUUCAAGUUGGACAGUUGUUUUUAUUUCCCCCCUCAUUCGUUCAAAAGCUGUUUGGAUCAAUUACAAUUUGGACUUUCUAAAGACAAAAGCGGGGAAUGGGAAAGACAUGUGUGAGAAUAUGUUAAGUUAAAUGUUUCUGUUAAAUGCAGAUUUGCCUAAUACUUACAUGUUAUAUUUAUCUUGGUGAUUGAUUGAUUGAUUGAUUGCGAAAUUUAUAUACUGCCUUUCAUUAAAAAUAAUCCCAAGGCAGUAAAUUCAAUAGUUGUUUGGGCCCCUCAGAACCCAUGUGUUAUAAAAUUGGUGCCCCAUGCGGUGGGCCUUUGCGAUUAUUAAGUGCUCCAGGAAAAACAUGUUUUAGCAAUUUUAAAAAAUUCAUCUGUUCUCUUCAGCAUUGCUAGCACUAUUUCAAAUAAAGUACUAUGGGCCAGGGACCCAAUCCUAACAUGACCCCUUUGCUAAAACACACCAGAUAUAACAGGGAUGUCCUGGUGAUUAAUGGCUUUAAAAACUGGAAUUGACUGCUGGAUUCCAUUAAAGAGCAUGAAAAGGUUUAAUUAAAAAAUGGAGAGAGGCCUCUAUAUCUGGGCCACUGAUCUUUUAAGUACCUAGCAAGCAAUUCCCCUGAUUGUUCUGGUUCUAAAAAGCUGUCAUUUUAACCCUAAUUUCCUAAAGGAAAAUAAGCUUAUGAGAUCACCCAGGGGUAUGUGUGUAUGUGUCCCACCAUCAACUUCACGAUUCCUGGACUGAUCUGAACCACAUUUAGCACAAUUGUAGGGACACCUCAAUGGCUUAGUUGUGAUGAUGUCAUCUGCCCUGAUUCAAGAUGGUGGACAUGAAAACUUCUGAGGUGCAAGUGGGCUAACCUGUGAACCAGCUAACUGAUUUCAACCAAAUUGGGUAUAGAUGCAGGGACCCAAUGAUGUAGUUUGUGACAAAGUCAUCCACCCCAAUUCAAGAUGGCAGAUGAAUUAAUAUUUGGGAUGGAAGUGAGAACCAAUUUAAACUAAAUUUAGUACAGUUGUAAGGACACAUCUCUGUUAACAUACAUUUUAAUGGCUAGCUUGGGACAAAGGAAACUAGCUUGUUAACAUUCCUAGUCACUCCCAUGGUAUUCUGGGAAACAUGAGAGAAGCCCUGAUGCACACAUUACCUCCCCCCCACCCACCGGUCUCCCAGACCUAUUCACCCAUUGUAAUGGAAGAACAAUUGUACUGGAAGGACAUAGUACUAGAAGGAAGCACACCCAGCAAAUUUGAAUAGGACAAAGAUGUAUUCUUUGCUCUCUCCCUUUUGUCCACCUUUUCAGCAGGAAGGUGUGGUCAGCAUGCCAGGGCAAAAUGCUAUCUAUUUCUAGUCAAGACACAAUCAAUUAGUAUGUCUCUUCCCCAGAUUCAUCAGCUGCAGCCUGCUUGUCAUCAUGUUUGGGCAUUGGGACCUCCAUCUUUCCUUGCCUGGACUUUUGCUCUUGUAUUGCUUGUCGCCUCCAGACCGUCCCUUUCCCCUAGCCCGGUCUGCGCAGCAUUCUUGGCUGUGAGAUCCUGGUCUCUAGAGUUCAGACCGUCUUUGGAUUUUGCCUGGUUCCCAGACUCCUGCCUGCCCCUUGGGUUCCCGUUCCUGCCUUUUGCCUUCCUGCCUGUCCCGGAGAAGAGAGGUCCCUUGGCAUCGGCCAAGCUUCAAGAGUCCAAACACCCCAAAAGUCAGAAGUAGGUAGUAUCUAACCUCUGCUCUCAUGCUUCUCACUCCCCUCCUCUCUUGCUCCCUCUAAAAUCCGAAGCUGCUCUCUCCAAAGACCAUUUUUCUGGUCGGCCUUGAGUAAACUCAAUUGAGAACUCAAGCCAAAUUGCCUCUUUGUGAGCUUUAACAUAGUCCUUUUAAUUGGUUAAUCUCGUUAGCUUGUCAGUUAAUAUUGUGUUGCUCAUUAAUCAUUAUUUCUUUUCCUGAACCCCUAAGCCCUAAAAUAAAUCUGAUUCUAUUUUUGGA